rnacentral:tRNA from 4 species
GUAGCUAUGUCAGAAUUUAUAUGAGUUAGUUUUAAGCAUUAAUUAUGGAAGUUUUCCUGGCUACU